rnacentral:rRNA from 1 species
UGGUAAUUCUAGAGCUAAUACAUGCAAUCAAGCCCCGACUUCCGGAAGGGGUGUAUUUAUUAGAUAAAAAACCAACGCGGCUCGCCGCUCCCUUGGUGAUUCAUAAUAACUUCUCGAAUCGCAUGGCCUUGUGCCGGCGAUGCUUCAUUCAAAUAUCUGCCCUAUCAACUUUCGAUGGUAGGAUAGUGGCCUACCAUGGUUU